rnacentral:rRNA from 1 species
AGGAAUCUGUCCUAUAAUCGAUGAUCCACGAUUUUUUUUACUUAUUUUAAAAGUUUGCAUAUCGCCGUAGAUUGAAUAUUUUUAAAAAAGAGUAAAUUUUCAAUAGUUUUUAUAAAAAAAAGAAUUCAGGUCAAGAUGUAGUUUAUGAAUAAGAAGAGAUGGGUUACAAUAAAAUUAUUUAUAACGGAUUGAUAAAUAAAAUUUUAUUAUAAAGGUGGAUUUAAGAGUAAUUUUAUUUAGAUUAAUAAGAUGAUUUUAGCUCUAAAGUAUGCACAUAUCGCCCGUCGCUUUCAUUAUAAAAUGAAAUAAGUCGUAACAAAGUAGAGGUACUGGAAAGUGUCUCUAGAAAGAUCAAGUUAGAGCUUAGAAAGCAUUUUAGUUACAUUAAAAAGUUUAUUGUAUAUUCAAUAUGAUUUGAACAGAAGUUUUUAUUAAAAAUUUUAAGGUAUAGUUUAUUAAUAUAAGAAUAUUUUAUUUUUAUUAAUAUUAAUGAGAAAAUAAAUUUUAUUAUAGGGUAAUAGUAUUGUGAAAGAAUAAAUUUAUGUAGUAAGAAUAAAAAUUAGGUUUUUGUACCUUGUGUAUCAGGGCUUAUUAAAUAAUAAUUUAAGAUUUAAUUUUCUCGAAUUAAUAAGAGUUAUAAUUAUAUAUAUAUAUUUGUUGAAUAAAAUUUUAUAAUAUAAUUAUGGAAAUGAAACACUAGUCGAUUAUUAAUAUAUCUAGUUUCUAAAGAAAAAAAUUUAAUUUUUUUAUUAAUUAGUAAAAAGUUUAAUUAAUAAUUUUUUAUUUUUAAUAUUUAAUAUUUUAGGGGAUGAGCUUUAAAAUAGAAAUUUUUAAAGAAUUUAUAUUUUUAAUUAAGUAGAAUUGUAAGUUUUUAUCUUUAAGAGGAUGUUGUAAUUAUUUUAUAAUUAGUUAUGAUUUAUAUAUUACUUUAAAUUUUUUUAUUUAGAUGAAAGUAUUAUUUAUAAAUAUUUUGUAAUAAUGAUAAGAUUAGUAUAAAUUAUUUGUUUUUAUUUAUUUUAUUUUUAGGUUGAGUAAAGGAAUUCGGCAAAUACAUUUUUCACCUGUUUAUUAAAAACAUGGCUUUUUGAGUUUAAUUUAAGGUCUGACCUGCCCAAUGAAGUUUUAAAUGGCCGCGGUAUUUUGACCGUGCAAAGGUAGCAUAAUCAUUAGUUUUUUAAUUGAAAGCUGGCAUGAAAGGUUGAAUGAGAAAAUAGCUGUCUCUAUUUAAAUUUUAUAGAAUUUUAUUUUUAAGUUAAAAAGCUUAAGAGACAAUAGAAGACGAGAAGACCCUAUAGAGUUUAAUUAUUUUUUAAAAGGAUGAUUUUAGAAUUAAC